rnacentral:rRNA from 1 species
GACGUGCUAAUCUGCGAUAAGCGUCGGUAAGGUGAUAUGAACCGUUAUAACCGGCGAUUUCCGAAUGGGGAAACCCAGUGUGUUUCGACACACUAUCAUUAACUGAAUCCAUAGGUUAAUGAGGCGAACCGGGGGAACUGAAACAUCUAAGUACCCCGAGGAAAAGAAAUCAACCGAGAUUCCCCCAGUAGCGGCGAGCGAACGGGGAGCAGCCCAGAGCCUGAAUCAGUGUGUGUGUUAGUGGAAGCGUCUGGAAAGGCGCGCGAUACAGGGUGACAGCCCCGUACACAAAAAUGCACAUACUGUGAGCUCGAUGAGUAGGGCGGGACACGUGGUAUCCUGUCUGAAUAUGGGGGGACCAUCCUCCAAGGCUAAAUACUCCUGACUGACCGAUAGUGAACCAGUACCGUGAGGGAAAGGCGAAAAGAACCCCGGCGAGGGGAGUGAAAAAGAACCUGAAACCGUGUACGUACAAGCAGUGGGAGCACGCUUAGGCGUGUGACUGCGUACCUUUUGUAUAAUGGGUCAGCGACUUAUAUUCUGUAGCAAGGUUAACCGAAUAGGGGAGCCGAAGGGAAACCGAGUCUUAACUGGGCGUUAAGUUGCAGGGUAUAGACCCGAAACCCGGUGAUCUAGCCAUGGGCAGGUUGAAGGUUGGGUAACACUAACUGGAGGACCGAACCGACUAAUGUUGAAAAAUUAGCGGAUGACUUGUGGCUGGGGGUGAAAGGCCAAUCAAACCGGGAGAUAGCUGGUUCUCCCCGAAAGCUAUUUAGGUAGCGCCUCGUGAAUUCAUCUCCGGGGGUAGAGCACUGUUUCGGCAAGGGGGUCAUCCCGACUUACCAACCCGAUGCAAACUGCGAAUACCGGAGAAUGUUAUCACGGGAGACACACGGCGGGUGCUAACGUCCGUCGUGAAGAGGGAAACAACCCAGACCGCCAGCUAAGGUCCCAAAGUCAUGGUUAAGUGGGAAACGAUGUGGGAAGGCCCAGACAGCCAGGAUGUUGGCUUAGAAGCAGCCAUCAUUUAAAGAAAGCGUAAUAGCUCACUGGUCGAGUCGGCCUGCGCGGAAGAUGUAACGGGGCUAAACCAUGCACCGAAGCUGCGGCAGCGACGCUGAUGCGUUGUUGGGUAGGGGAGCGUUCUGUAAGCCUGUGAAGGUGUGCUGUGAGGCAUGCUGGAGGUAUCAGAAGUGCGAAUGCUGACAUAAGUAACGAUAAAGCGGGUGAAAAGCCCGCUCGCCGGAAGACCAAGGGUUCCUGUCCAACGUUAAUCGGGGCAGGGUGAGUCGACCCCUAAGGCGAGGCCGAAAGGCGUAGUCGAUGGGAAACAGGUUAAUAUUCCUGUACUUGGUGUUACUGCGAAGGGGGGACGGAGAAGGCUAUGUUGGCCGGGCGACGGUUGUCCCGGUUUAAGCGUGUAGGCUGGUUUUCCAGGCAAAUCCGGAAAAUCAAGGCUGAGGCGUGAUGACGAGGCACUACGGUGCUGAAGCAACAAAUGCCCUGCUUCCAGGAAAAGCCUCUAAGCAUCAGGUAACAUCAAAUCGUACCCCAAACCGACACAGGUGGUCAGGUAGAGAAUACCAAGGCGCUUGAGAGAACUCGGGUGAAGGAACUAGGCAAAAUGGUGCCGUAACUUCGGGAGAAGGCACGCUGAUAUGUAGGUGAAGCGACUUGCUCGUGGAGCUGAAAUCAGUCGAAGAUACCAGCUGGCUGCAACUGUUUAUUAAAAACACAGCACUGUGCAAACACGAAAGUGGACGUAUACGGUGUGACGCCUGCCCGGUGCCGGAAGGUUAAUUGAUGGGGUUAGCGCAAGCGAAGCUCUUGAUCGAAGCCCCGGUAAACGGCGGCCGUAACUAUAACGGUCCUAAGGUAGCGAAAUUCCUUGUCGGGUAAGUUCCGACCUGCACGAAUGGCGUAAUGAUGGCCAGGCUGUCUCCACCCGAGACUCAGUGAAAUUGAACUCGCUGUGAAGAUGCAGUGUACCCGCGGCAAGACGGAAAGACCCCGUGAACCUUUACUAUAGCUUGACACUGAACAUUGAGCCUUGAUGUGUAGGAUAGGUGGGAGGCUUUGAAGUGUGGACGCCAGUCUGCAUGGAGCCGACCUUGAAAUACCACCCUUUAAUGUUUGAUGUUCUAACGUUGACCCGUAAUCCGGGUUGCGGACAGUGUCUGGUGGGUAGUUUGACUGGGGCGGUCUCCUCCUAAAGAGUAACGGAGGAGCACGAAGGUUGGCUAAUCCUGGUCGGACAUCAGGAGGUUAGUGCAAUGGCAUAAGCCAGCUUGACUGCGAGCGUGACGGCGCGAGCAGGUGCGAAAGCAGGUCAUAGUGAUCCGGUGGUUCUGAAUGGAAGGGCCAUCGCUCAACGGAUAAAAGGUACUCCGGGGAUAACAGGCUGAUACCGCCCAAGAGUUCAUAUCGACGGCGGUGUUUGGCACCUCGAUGUCGGCUCAUCACAUCCUGGGGCUGAAGUAGGUCCCAAGGGUAUGGCUGUUCGCCAUUUAAAGUGGUACGCGAGCUGGGUUUAGAACGUCGUGAGACAGUUCGGUCCCUAUCUGCCGUGGGCGCUGGAGAACUGAGGGGGGCUGCUCCUAGUACGAGAGGACCGGAGUGGACGCAUCACUGGUGUUCGGGUUGUCAUGCCAAUGGCACUGCCCGGUAGCUAAAUGCGGAAGAGAUAAGUGCUGAAAGCAUCUAAGCACGAAACUUGCCCCGAGAUGAGUUCUCCCUGACUCCUUGAGAGUCCUGAAGGAACGUUGAAGACGACGACGUUGAUAGGCCGGGUGUGUAAGCGCAGCGAUGCGUUGAGCUAACCGGUACUAAUGAACCGUGAGGCUUAACCUU